CUCCACUAAAAGCUAGCGAGUCGGCUGGAAAUAUCAUAUAACUACGGAGUACCAAUCGAACUUUUUAGUUACAUCCCAUUAGCUACUAUAUUUAGACGCCAAGCGAUCCUGAUAUUCGCGCCUCUAGAAGCGAGUUUUUUUUCCUCACAUGGCGGACACUCUUUACAAACGGCAUUUGAGGGUAUUCCUGUCAAUGUGUGCCUGACCGUCAAAUCAUUUGGGAUGUUCCCCGCUUUCAUGCAACUCGGACACAGGGAACUGCCACCAGAGGAGAUCCGUGCUCGCAGCUCACCUCUGACCACUGCCGUUUCAUUUACUUCAAGCCGGGGUACUACAGGUAGCUAGCUGAAUCUGGGAGGAAAUAGAGGAAGGAUCUCCAUCAAUCUGACAGAUCCCCUCCACUGUUUAAAUUGUGCUACAGAGUUUGUUCAAAUGCUAUCUACGGUCAUCAGCCUUGAGGGAAUCUACAGAGGAGUUAUAUUUAGCCCUUCUUCGGAAUCCGCCUGACCCGCCUCGCAAAGCUCGCGACUCAAUGGCAAACUGCACUACAGACAUUCAUGUGCG
rnacentral:sRNA from 1 species